rnacentral:misc_RNA from 1 species
CGCACAUUGCGCCCCCUGGUAUUCCGGGGGGCACGCCUGUUCGAGCGUCAUUUCAACCGUCAAGCGCAGCUUGGUGUUGGGUGGUCGCCCCGGCUGGGGCGUCCCCGAAAAUAAGCGGUGGUGCAACCGGACUCCGAGCGCAGUAGCAUCUCUUCGCUGGGGUUCCGGCGGCCGUCGGCCGAUAUCCAAUAAUGACUUUGAAUGGUUGACCUCGGAUCAGGCGGGGAUACCCGCUGAACUUAA